GGGGAAUAUUGCACAAUGGGGGAAACCCUGAUGCAGCGACGCCGCGUGGAGGAAGAAGGUCUUCGGAUUGUAAACUCCUGUUGUUGGGGAAGAUAAUGACGGUACCCAACAAGGAAGUGACGGCUAACUACGUGCCAGCAGCCGCGGUAAAACGUAGGUCACAAGCGUUGUCCGGAAUUACUGGGUGUAAAGGGAGCGCAGGCGGGAAGACAAGUUGGAAGUGAAAUCUAUGGGCUCAACCCAUAAACUGCUUUCAAAACUGUUUUUCUUGAGUAGUGCAGAGGUAGGCGGAAUUCCCGGUGUAGCGGUGGAAUGCGUAGAUAUCGGGAGGAACACCAGUGGCGAAGGCGGCCUACUGGGCACCAACUGACGCUGAGGCUCGAAAGUGUGGGUAGCAAACAGGAUUAGAUACCCUGGUAGUCCACACCGUAAACGAUGAUUACUAGGUGUUGGAGGAUUGACCCCUUCAGUGCCGCAGUUAACACAAUAAGUAAUCCACCUGGGGAGUACGACCGCAAGGUUGAAACUCAAAGGAAUUGACGGGGGCCCGCACAAGCAGUGGAGUAUGUGGUUUAAUUCGACGCAACGCGAAGAACCUUACCAAGUCUUGACAUCCCUUGACAGGCAUAGAAAUAUGUUUUCUCUUCGGAGCAAGGAGACAGGUGGUGCAUGGUUGUCGUCAGCUCGUGUCGUGAGAUGUUGGGUUAAGUCCCGCAACGAGCGCAACCCUUAUGGUCAGUUACUACGCAAGAGGACUCUGGCCAGACUGCCGUUGACAAAACGGAGGAAGGUGGGGAUGACGUCAAAUCAUCAUGCCCUUUAUGACUUGGGCUACACACGUACUACAAUGGCGUUAAACAAAGAGAAGCAAGACCGCGAGGUGGAGCAAAACUCAGAAACAACGUCCCAGUUCGGACUGCAGGCUGCAACUCGCCUGCACGAAGUCGGAAUCGCUAGUAAUCGCGGAUCAGCAUGCCGCGGUGAAUACGUUCCCG
rnacentral:rRNA from 1 species